CAGCAGUGGGGAAUCUUGCGCAAUGGGCGAAAGCCUGACGCAGCCAUGCCGCGUGAAUGAUGAAGGUCUUAGGAUUGUAAAAUUCUUUCACCGGGGACGAUAAUGACGGUACCCGGAGAAGAAGCCCCGGCUAACUUCGUGCCAGCAGCCGCGGUAAUACGAAGGGGGCUAGCGUUGCUCGGAAUUACUGGGCGUAAAGGGCGCGUAGGCGGACAUUUAAGUCAGGGGUGAAAUCCCAGAGCUCAACUCUGGAACUGCCUUUGAUACUGGGUGUCUUGAGUGUGAGAGAGGUAUGUGGAACUCCGAGUGUAGAGGUGAAAUUCGUAGAUAUUCGGAAGAACACCAGUGGCGAAGGCGACAUACUGGCUCAUUACUGACGCUGAGGCGCGAAAGCGUGGGGAGCAAACAGGAUUAGAUACCCUGGUAGUCCACGCCGUAAACGAUGAUUGCUAGUUGUCGGGCUGCAUGCAGUUCGGUGACGCAGCUAACGCAUUAAGCAAUCCGCCUGGGGAGUACGGUCGCAAGAUUAAAACUC
rnacentral:rRNA from 1 species